AUGACGUUGUCACGUACUAGGUUCUGGCUAUGAUGGCAGCUCUAGGCUGAUAUCGAUACAACACUGAAUGUAACUAUUUAAAAAAGUUAGUAAACGCCCCUGAUAAAACAAAGUAGGUAACAUUUGAAGGUUUUUAAUAGUAUAAGAAUAAACAUACCCGCCCAGUCUGGGGAACGGUAAGUUCACGUAGCCUUAGUAAGCUUUUUAAUGACACAUUGAGGCGAGGAAGUGGCACCGACUUUGUGCUCCCGGUGUGCUGCUGCUGCUGCUCUCCACUUGCUAUUUGCAUGUUUUGCACAUUCAUACGAUCGUUGCCGAGCUAGACAACCGCUUAAGCAAUGACACACGUCUGAAUGACCGAUCCUACUGAGAGCAUUUGCCAAUUCACAUCCAAAUGUUUCUUGAGCAAGCUAAUUGCUACCUACCACCUAGCUGCACAUUGUCAAUGGUAUGGUGAAGAGCUAACGUCUUGGAAGCCCACUGGGUGUCUGACAGGUUCUGACAAUACCCUGAAACGAUCCUUUGAUAUCAUAGGCCGAAGACUGCUUGAACAACUCCUAUUUGAUAUAAUAUGGUCGUCGGAUACAGGUUGCCCCACUGGAAGGAAGACGUUUUAAAAAGCGGCACUAUGCCCGCUGCUACUGUGGAUCACAGCCAAAGAAUAUGUGAGGUUUGGGCCAACAACCUGGAUGAGGAGCUGAAGAGGAUCCGACAUGUUAUUCGAAAGUACAACUACAUUGCAAUGGACACAGAGUUCCCGGGUGUAGUUGCCAGGCCGAUCGGGGAGUUCCGCAGCAACGCUGGCUACCAAUACCAGUUGCUGCGCUGCAACGUUGACCUUCUAAAGAUCAUCCAGCUGGGCCUCACCUUUAUGAAUGAGGAAGGGGAAUAUCCACCUGGAACGUCCACGUGGCAGUUCAACUUUAGGUUCAACCUUACAGAGGACAUGUAUGCCCAGGACUCCAUCGAGCUCCUGACCACGUCGGGCAUUCAGUUCAAGAAGCACGAGGACGAGGGCAUCGACACGCUUUACUUUGCCGAGUUGCUGAUGACCUCCGGGGUGGUGCUCUGUGAGGGGGUCAAAUGGCUGUCCUUCCACAGUGGCUAUGACUUUGGAUACCUGAUCAAGUUGCUCUCUAAUGCUAAACUGCCUGAAGAGGAGGUGGAUUUCUUUGAGAUCCUUCGCUUAUACUUCCCUGUCAUUUACGACGUGAAGUACCUCAUGAAGAGUUGCAAAAACCUUAAGGUAAUGCAUCCCUCCAAACAUUCUGAAUGAGCAGAGCUUUCAGUCUAGCGCUAGGUGAAUUCACUUCACGUCGUCGUGACACAUUGAGCAUGGAGUUAGCAUUGAGUGUAGGCCUCGAUUCUGUAACCAGAGCAGAGGUUAACCAGGAGGUAGCCAGAAGGUACUAAGUGCAGCGUGGGUAUCACCAAUUGUUGGCUGUUCAGAAGGAGACACGUGAUACAUUUUGUGUCAUGUGGUUAAAUGUAGACCUAAUGUGAUUGGCUGUAGUCCUCCUAAUUUGCUUAUUGGGAUUAAUGACCUGUUAUCUCAUCUGAAGUGUGGUAAAUAUUGAUUGGCUACUGGAAAUCAGGCAACCAUUCUCAAAAAGACAGAUGGUAGACAGGCAGUUGCCAGACGGUAACCAGGGAGUUACCAUGUGGUAACCAGGUGGUUACUUGAAGGUAACCAGAUACAUAGCGAAUGGUAACCGAGAUAGUAACCAGAAUGUACCAAAUAGUAACUAAAAAGUUGCCAUUAUAGUACCCAGGAGCUAGCCAUAUAUUAACCAGGUGGUAACUAGGCGGUAACAUGAUGAAAACCAGGAAGUCACCAGACAGUAAGCCGGUGGUAACCAGACAGUAACAUGAUGAACCCAGGCGGUAAACAGACAGUGAGCAGGUGGUAACCAGAUAGUAAGCAUGUGGUAACAUGAUGAACCCAGGAGGUUACCAGACAGUAACAUGAUGCACCAAGGCGGUAAACAGACAGUAACAUGAUGAACCCAGGCGGUAAACAGACAGUAACAUGAUGAACCCAGGAGGUAACCAGACAGUAACAUGAUGCACCAAGGCGGUAAACAGACAGUAACAUGAUGAACCCAGGAGGUUACCAGACAGUAACAUGAUGCACCAAGGCGGUAAACAGACAGUAACAUGAUGAACCCAGGCGGUAAACAGACAGUAACAUGAUGAACCCAGGCGGUAACCAGACAGUGAGCAGGUGGUACCGACAGGUGUGCAGCAGGUGACCGCUGGGUGUGGUUUGGCAGGGAGGCCUGCAGGAGGUGGCGGAGCAGCUGGACCUAGAGAGGAUCGGCCCGCAGCACCAGGCGGGCUCCGACUCCCUGCUCACGGGCAUGGCCUUCUUCAAGAUGAGAGAGGUAGGGCGGAGGCGGCUUUGUAUCCGUCCUCUU